GAUGAACGCUGGCGGCGUGCUUAACACAUGCCAGUCGAACGAUGAAGCCCAGCUUGCUGGGUGGAUUAGUGGCGAACGGGUGAGUAACACGUGAGUAACCUGCCCUUGACUCUGGGAUAAGCCUGGGAAACUGGGUCUAAUACUGGAUAUGACUUCUCAUCGCAUGGUGGGGGGUGGAAAGAUUUAUUGGUCUUGGAUGGACUCGCGGCCUAUCAGCUUGUUGGUGAGGUAAUGGCUCACCAAGGCGACGACGGGUAGCCGGCCUGAGAGGGUGACCGGCCACACUGGGACUGGGACACGGCCCAGACUCCUAUGGGAGGCAGCAGUGGGGAAUAUUGCACAAUGGGCGCAAGCCUGAUGCAGCGACGCCGCGUGAGGGAUGACGGCCUUCGGGUUGUAAACCUCUUUCAGUAGGGAAGAAGCGAGAGUGACGGUACCUGCAGAAGAAGCGCCGGCUAACUACGUG
rnacentral:rRNA from 1 species